CACGUAGGCACCAAGCGUUGUCCGGAUUUAUUGGGCGUAAAGAGCUCGUAGGCGGUUCAGUAAGUCGGGUGUGAAAACUUUGGGCUUAUCCCAAAGCGUGCAUCCGAUACUGCUGUGACUUGAGUUCGGUAGGGGAGUGGGGAAUUCCUAGUGUAGCGGUGAAAUGCGCAGAUAUUAGGAGGAACACCGGUGGCGAAGGCGCCACUCUGGGCCGAAACUGACGCUGAGGAGCGAAAGCGUGGGUAGCAAACAGG
rnacentral:rRNA from 1 species